GGGUUGUUAGCUCAGCUUGGUAGAGCAGCGGACUUUUAAUCCGUUGGUCGCGUGUUCGAAUCACGCACAGCCUA
rnacentral:tRNA from 1 species